rnacentral:rRNA from 1 species
GAGUUUGAUCUUGGCUCAGAGCGAACGCUGGCGGUAGGCUUAACACAUGCAAGUCGAACGCCCCGCAAGGGGAGUGGCAGACGGGUGAGUAACACGUGGGAACGUGCCUUUUGGUUCGGAACAACCCAGGGAAACUUGGGCUAAUACCGGAUAAGCCCUUACGGGGAAAGAUUUAUCGCCAAAAGAUCGGCCCGCGUCUGAUUAGCUAGUUGGUGGGGUAAUGGCCCACCAAGGCUACGAUCAGUAGCUGGUCUGAGAGGAUGAUCAGCCACAUUGGGACUGAGACACGGCCCAAACUCCUACGGGAGGCAGCAGUGGGGAAUCUUGGACAAUGGGCGCAAGCCUGAUCCAGCCAUGCCGCGUGAGUGAUGAAGGCCUUAGGGUUGUAAAGCUCUUUCAGUGGGGAAGAUAAUGACGGUACCCACAGAAGAAGCCCCGGCUAACUUCGUGCCAGCAGCCGCCGCAGU